GAACAAGAAGAAGAAGAAGAAGAAGAACAUUGCCCUUGCCGCUCUAGUGUGUUCAUGCUCCCCAGUGUGUUUGAUUCCUUGGUUUUUGAUGCUGCCUAGAUUUUUGGACUCUGCUUUUUGUGUGAUCUCCCUGAAUGGACUUUUCUGCCUUUGCUGACUGUCUUCAUGUGUUUGACCCCUGACCUCCUAGGUUUCCUCAUCAUCCCUGCAGCUACGGAUUUUCCUCCUGGUUCUUGUGAUGGAUACACCAACAUAACUGAUUCGUGGCGCAACCAAGACUUUACAUCCACUUCUUUCCCUGGCUUUCCCAAUGAAGAUUCAAAGCUUCUUAACAAAUGGUGGCACUUCACAGGGAUUGGUGGAGACAGAGUCUCAAGCAAACGUGGUGGCACACAUCAUACUGUUUAUAUUGCAUUUGCUCACCCAACUACUGAGUCUGUGGCCCCAACAAGCGGGACUGGGUAUGUUUUUUAUGCUGGCUGUUAUGCCUUACCUGUAAAAGUGAGUGUGGCCCUCUGUCCUGGAGGAUUCUAUGUGUACAAACCAAGUCAUCCACACUUUAUCACAGGAUAUGUAACUCUUGAGUAAUCCUAUUUUUUUUUCAUUUUUUUUUGCUAUUAACUGAGGGUCAGAACAAUCAAUUCUUUAAGAACACAAAGUUAAAGUUCUGAUUUGUGUUUGAGUCCAAGUGUAAAAGCAGCUUUGUUGGGAGAUGAUGCAUGUGACGUUCAUUAGUGAUCCGGGUUUCUGGUGAUAUUUAAACGCUCUUAAAAAGGCACUGAAUUCUAAUAUGGGUCCUAAUUGGUAUUAAGAUGUCUUAAAUCAAUCUUUCAAACAUCUAAAAAGUGCUGAAAUGUGUAGUAUGAUUUUAUGAAUUGUUUUUUUUUUCUAAUGCUGCAUUGAAAAAUCUCAAUAACUGGUAACAUCUAUUUAAAAAAAUACUCUCACAUUAUUGUCAAGCAGAUCC